rnacentral:rRNA from 1 species
CCUACGGGAGGCAGCAGUGGGGGAUAUUGCACAAUGGGGGAAACCCUGAUGCAGCGACGCCGCGUGUGGGAAGACGGUCCUCUGGAUUGUAAACCACUGUCCCCAGGGACGAAGAUGACGGUACCUGGGGAGGAAGCUCCGGCUAACUACGUGCCAGCAGCCGCGGUAAUACGUAGGGAGCGAGCGUUGUCCGGAAUUACUGGGUGUAAAGGGAGCGUAGGCGGGACUGCAAGUUGGGUGUCAAAUCUACCGGCUCAACCGGUAGCCGCACUCAAAACUGCAGUUCUUGAGUGAAGUAGAGGCAGGCGGAAUUCCUAGUGUAGCGGUGAAAUGCGUAGAUAUUAGGAGGAACACCAGUGGCGAAGGCGGCCUACUGGGCUUUUACUGACGCUGAGGCUCGAAAGUGUGGGGAGCAAACAGGAUUAGAUACCCGGGUAGUC